UCCCUGAUAGCUCAGUUGGUAAAGAAUCUGCCUGAAAUGCAGGAAACCCAGGUUUGAUUCCUGCGUCUGGAA
rnacentral:tRNA from 1 species